GCCAAAUCUAGGAGCACUCAACUUUUCUCUCUAUGCUCUCUGAACAAUCUCUUUCAUUCCUGGUUCCUCAAAGAGGGAGCAGCUGCAGUCCUGCUAUCCACCUGAGCCACAGGGACACUAUCCAAAGGUGUUAAUCCAAAGAAGAUAUGGUACAGCAUCAGAAAUCACUCAUCAGAGGCCAGGCUCCAUCCUCAGCAAACUGGAGCUUUAGGUUUCCUGGAAACAUGGAUCGCCGUAAGUGCAGAUGAGCUGACAUAUUUGGAGGGAAAAAAACCGCAAGAGAAAAGCCUUUGGGAAUCCAAGACCUUCUCCAGGCUGAAUGCUUUCCAGCAGAACCUGAAAAAACAACUUUGUCGCCAAAUGGAGUUUCUGUUUUUAUAACAGCUUUGCAUUUGUUGUUAAAAUUAAAAAAAGAAAUAAA